rnacentral:lncRNA from 1 species
AAGAAAAUACUAUGUAAAAAACUAUAAAACUAAAAGACCGUAUAAACCAAAGUAAAAACUAACAUAAUGUACUUGUUACUAUUGUGAAAAAGUAGGACAUAUAGCAAAAAAUUGCAAAUUACCUAAAAAUCUAAAGAAAAAACAAAUAUCAGAGAUACUAAUAGACGAUGAAAAAUAUAUACAAAUAGAGUAAAUAGAUUAUGAAUUGGAAAGCGAC